rnacentral:rRNA from 1 species
CGGCCGCGGUACCCUAACCGUGCGAAGGUAGCACAAUCACUUGUUCUUUAAAUAAGGACUAGUAUGAACGGCACCACGAAGACUAUACUGUCUCCUUUCUACAAUCAGUGAAACUGAUCUUCCCGUGAAGAAGCGGGAAUUAUUUUAUAAGACGAGAAGACCCCACGAAGCUUUAAAUAAAUAGCAACUGCUAAUACAACAUCACCUAAGCCCAGCAAAUCUGACUAUAAAUUUUAGGUUGGGGUGACCACGGAGCAAAACAAAACCUCCAUAAUGAAAAGACCUUAUAUCAUUAUACAAGAACAACAAUUCUAAUAAUCAAAAUAUUGACAUAAUUUGACCCAAAUCCUUUGAUCAAUGAACCAAGUUACUCUGGGGAUAACAGCGCCAUCCAUUUCAAGAGUCCCUAUCGACAAAUGGGUUUACGACCUCGAUGUUGGAUCAGGGUAUCCUAGUGGUGCAGCCGCUACUAAAGGUUCGUUUGUUCAACGAUUAAAACCCUACGUGAUCUGA